rnacentral:rRNA from 1 species
AGUAGCGAAUGAGGAGUGAGAAACUCCUCCACCGAAAGACCAAGGGUUCCAGGGUCAAGCUAAUCUGCCCUGGGUAAGUCGGGACCUAAGGCGAGGCCGACAGGCGUAGUCGAUGGACAACGGGUUGAUAUUCCCGUACCGGCGAAGAACCGCCCAUACCGAGCCCGGUGAUGCUAACCGUCCGAACUGUUGCACCGUGACCUUCGGGUCGCACCGCUUCAGGGAGCACGGGACCCGAACCGGUAGUAGGUAAGCGUAUUAACAGGAGUGACGCAGGAAGGUAGCCAAGCGUGGCGAUGGUAGUCCACGUCCAAGGUCGUAGGGCGAGUUGUAGGCAAAUCCGCAACUCACAUAGCCUGAGAGCUGAUGGUGACCGCAAUAGCGGGAAUUUGGUGAUCCUAUGCUGCCAAGAAAAACUUCGACGCGAGGUUCUAGCCGCCCGUACCCCAAACCGACUCAGGUGAUCAAGUAGAGAAUACUAAGGCGAUCGAGACAACCAUGGUUAAGGAACUCGGCAAAAUGCCCCCGUAACUUCGGGAGAAGGGGGGCCGGAUCCGUGAACCCACUUGCUGGGGGAAGCGGUGAUGGCCGCAGAGACCAGGGGAAAGCGACUGUUUACUAAAAACACAGGUCCGUGCGAAGUCGCAAGACGAUGUAUAUGGACUGACGCCUGCCCGGUGCUGGAAGGUUAAGAGGACCGGUUAGUUCCUUCGGGAGCGAAGCUGAGAAUUUAAGCCCCAGUAAACGGCGGUGGUAACUAUAACCAUCCUAAGGUAGCGAAAUUCCUUGUCGGGUAAGUUCCGAUCUGCACGAAUGGCGUAACGACU